UGGGGAAUUUUGGACAAUGGGCGAAAGCCUGAUCCAGCCAUGCCGCGUGCAGGAUGAAGGCCUUAGGGUUGUAAAGAUCUUUCAGUGGGGAAGAUAAUGACGGUACCCACAGAAGAAGCCCCGGCUAACUCCGUGCCAGCAGCCGCGGUAAUACGGAGGGGGCUAGCGUUGUUCGGAAUUACUGGGCGUAAAGCGCACGUAGGCGGAUCAGAAAGUCAGAGGUGAAAUCCCAGGGCUCAACCUUGGAACUGCCUUUGAAACUCCUGAUCUUGAGGUCGAGAGAGGUGAGUGGAAUUCCGAGUGUAGAGGUGAAAUUCGUAGAUAUUCGGAGGAACACCAGUGGCGAAGGCGGCUCACUGGCUCGAUACUGACGCUGAGGUGCGAAAGCGUGGGGAGCAAACAGG
rnacentral:rRNA from 1 species